AGUGAACGCUGGCGGUAGGCCUAACACAUGCAAGUCGAACGGCAGCACAGUACGUUCUUGCUCUUACGUUUUUCGAGUGUCUUACGUUUUAUUUAUACAUCUGCAUCUACUUUUUCGUGUGGGAUAACGUAGGUUAACUUACUCUAAUACCUCAUACUACCUUCUGUUGAAUUCAUUUGAUCUUCUCACCUUUCGCGUUUGAAUGAGCCGAUGUCGGAUUUGCUAGUUGGCGGGGUAAAGGCCCACCAAGUCGACGAUCCGUAGCUGGUCUGAGAGGAUGAUCAGACACACUGGAACAGAGACACGGACCAGAAUACGAAGGGAGGAAGCAGUGGGGAAUAUUGGACAAUGGGCGAAAGCAUGAUCCAGCAAUACCGAGUGGGUGAAGAAGGACGUCGGGUUGUAAAGCCAUUUUGUUGGGAAAGAAAAGAAGCAGGUUAAUAACCAGAUGUUAUGACGGUACCCAAAGAAUAAGCACCGGCUAACUUCGUG
rnacentral:rRNA from 1 species